CUUUGGUUUUGGUUUGGUUUAUUGUUUAUCACAUAUUAUUACAGCAAUAACAGUGCAAGGAGGGAGACGAAGCCUAGGGCUUGUAGAGAGCUCCACUCCUGUUAUAUAUACAACAAACCAGAGAACUGAAAAGAUGCCCUCAACA